GUGCCAGCAGCCGCGGUAAUACGUAGGGUGCAAGCGUUAAUCGGAAUUACUGGGCGUAAAGCGUGCGCAGGCGGUUAUGCAAGACAGAUGUGAAAUCCCCGGGCUCAACCUGGGAACUGCAUUUGUGACUGCAUGGCUAGGGUACGGCAGAGGGGGGUGGAAUUCCACGUGUAGCAGUGGAAUGCGUAGAUAUGUGGAGGAACACCGAUGGCGAAGGCAGCCCCCUGGGCCUGUACUGACGCUCAUGCACGAAAGCGUGGGGAGCAAACAGGAUUAGAUACCCUGGUAGUCCACGCCCUAA
rnacentral:rRNA from 1 species